rnacentral:rRNA from 1 species
UACGGAGGGAGCUAGCGUUGUUCGGAAUUACUGGGCGUAAAGCGCACGUAGGCGGCUUUGUAAGUUAGAGGUGAAAGCCUGGGGCUCAACCCCAGAAUUGCCUUUAAGACUGCAUCGCUUGAAUUGUGGAGAGGUGAGUGGAAUUCCGAGUGUAGAGGUGAAAUUCGUAGAUAUUCGGAAGAACACCAGUGGCGAAGGCGGC